GACGAACGCUGGCGGCGUGCUUAACACAUGCAAGUCGAACGGAAUGGCCCUGCUUUUGUGGGGUGCUCGAGUGGCGAACGGGUGAGUAACACGUGAGUAACCUGCCCUUGACUUUGGGAUAACUUCAGGAAACUGGGGCUAAUACCGGAUAGGAGCUCCUGCUGCAUGGUGGGGGUUGGAAAGUUUCGGCGGUUGGGGAUGGACUCGCGGCUUAUCAGCUUGUUGGUGGGGUAGUGGCUUACCAAGGCUUUGACGGGUAGCCGGCCUGAGAGGGUGACCGGCCACAUUGGGACUGAGAUACGGCCCAGACUCCUACGGGAGGCAGCAGUGGGGAAUAUUGCACAAUGGGCGGAAGCCUGAUGCAGCAACGCCGCGUGCGGGAUGACGGCCUUCGGGUUGUAAACCGCUUUCGCCUGUGACGAAGCGUGAGUGACGGUAAUGGGUAAAGAAGCACCGGCUAACUACGUG
rnacentral:rRNA from 1 species